rnacentral:rRNA from 1 species
CGAUGCUACACGAAGAACCUUACCAGGGUUUGACAUGCAAGUGGUAGGAAACCGAAAGGCGACCGACCCUUCGGGGAGCUUGCACAGGUGCUGCAUGGCUGUCGUCAGCUCGUGUCGUGAGAUGUUCGGUUAAGUCCGCUAACGAGCGCAACCCUCGCUGUGUGUUACAAGUGUCACACGGUACUGCCGGUCUUAAGCCGGAGGAAGGUGAGGAUGAUGUCAAGUCAGCAUGACCUUUAUAUCCAGGGCUACACACACGCUACAAUGGUCUGUACAAUUGGUUGCCAAGCCGCGAGGCGGAGCCAAUCCGUAAAGCAGGCCUCAGUUCAGAUUGCAGUCUGCAACUCGACUGCAUGAAGCCGGAGUUGCUAGUAACCGCAGGUCAGCAAUACUGCGGUGAAUACGUUCCCGGGUCUU